CCCCCGGCCCACCACCUCCCCACCUCUACCGUCACCGAACCCGAGCCCAGACCCCGAUGCCGCACCACCAAAACUGCCCAGCUCGAAUCCCUGCCGUCGCCAUUCCUUCUUCCCCAGACUCGCCCCCAAUCCCGGCAUCCAGCUCCGAUUCGUGCCCCCAAUCCUAGCACCAAUUCGCCGCUCCCACCUUCAGACGCGACCCCAAUACCGGCGCCCAGUUCGGAUCCUGGCGGCGCCGCAUCAACCUGUCGUCGGCGCUCCUUCACCCACGAGACGCGUCCCCAACUCCGGCGCCGUACCACCCCCAUCCUGGCGCGUCUCGGCCUCCCGUCGGUUCUCUCCACUUUUCUGGAUCGGCGGUGACGGCCCCCAAGAUCCGCCGAAGCCGUCCACCUCAGGGCCGCCCGAUCGCCGGAGAAAAAGGCGGCUGCGUCCACCUCGCCCUCGGUGCCGCCCGAUCGCCGGAGAACAAGGCGGCUGCCGAGGCCAAAGACGCGGCACCGGCGCGCGCUCGCUGCGCCUGCUCCAUCUCCCUCGCCAGUAGGGCAGAGGAUCUCCAGCUGGCAGGCCACAGGGUCAGUGCGCGCGCCCAUGCGGGUCGGCAAACUGGCCUCCGCCAUGCCUUCCUCGAGCAGAUCCACCUCCUAACGCGGGGCCUCGGGCGCCAAGCAGCUCAUGCGGCGACUGCGCCUGCAAGAAGACGCAGACGAAAGUGGCGGCAGGGAGGAGGACGAGCGCCUGCCGCUUCUGCUUAUUAUGCAAAUCGAUGAGUGUAUCAUCAGCGUCAGUCCAUCGCUCCCACUGGCACCGGCGACGGCCCACUCAGCCAGGUUCAGCGUCGAGUGUCUGAAACGGCAAGGUCAACUUGCGGGGUUGCGGCGCCUGGCUCCAUCAUCAUCACCUGAAGCUGUCGAUUUCUUCUAAGGACACAUUGCAGGUGUGAGAGCAUCGAGUAAUCUCUGCACCAGGAUCACAUUAGAGCAGAUUGGUCAUAACAAGCAAGUUUGACAUUUGUUUGCAUUAUGGAAGACAUCCAAACUCGCUGUUAUGUCAGAUGCUGGUGAAAGCUGAAAUAUCUCUGAGGGAAAUGUAGAAAAAUCUUGCUAGCGUCAUCGUUUAUAUCUUUCCGAGACAUACAUUUGUGUGCCUGUAAUAUGAUUUCCAAGGCAUCCCGGUGCAUAUGAUAUAUAAAUUCUUUCAUGUAUA